UGGGAGGUGGGUGGCUGCACACUCAAAACUGGCUUCCAACGGGACACAGACAUCAAAACAAAGAAGAGGGCCUCACGACAGGGUUGCCUUGCUUACUCAGCCCACAGCUCUCAAACCGUUGCGCGAGGAAGAGCACGCAGGAGAACAGGUGCAGGAGCCAGAGCAAGACAUUUAGGCACUGACGGGAACAAAACUCUGCAGCCCUGUGGCAGUGUCUAAGGAGGAUGCAUGCAUUAUUCUCCACGACUGAUACAGAAGUAAAUUCCAGAAAGCUUUAAAGUCAGUUUGUAUAAAGAGAGGUUCUCUUUGACUGUGAAACAGAAGAAAAUCUUUCCUUAACAAUAACUUACACGUGCCAUGAAAGAGAUGAAGCAGAAGAUUAAGCAGGAAACCCAGCUACUUUUUUGCCCUAAGGCAUUACUCAUUUUCCUGACACAUUAUGUUUUUAAUUAAAAUUACAUGUG